AUUAAACGCUGGCGGCAUGCCUUACACAUGCAAGUCGAACGGCAGCACGGGGGCAACCUUGGUGGCGAGUGGCGAACGGGUGAGUAAAGCAUCGGAACGUGCCCUGGAGUGGGGGAUAACGUAGCGAAAGUUACGCUAAUACCGCAUAUUCUGUGAGCAGGAAAGCAGGGGAUCGCAAGACCUUGCGCUCUGGGAGCGGCCGAUGUCGGAUUAGCUAGUUGGUGGGGUAAAGGCCUACCAAGGCGACGAUCCGUAGCGGGUCUGAGAGGAUGAUCCGCCACACUGGGACUGAGACACGGCCCAGACUCCUACGGGAGGCAGCAGUGGGGAAUUUUGGGACAAUGGGCGAAAGCCUGAUCCAGCCAUGCCGCGUGAGUGAAGAAGGCCU
rnacentral:rRNA from 1 species